rnacentral:rRNA from 1 species
UUUAAGAGAAUUACAGAUGCGUGAACUGGUCAGAGGUAGCGGGUGGAGUUGAACUGCAAGCUCUGGGGAUUCAGCUGGUGAGUGUGGUUUGAGCUUGGUCAAGUCAGUUGGACUCUGUGUUCCACGUGGCACUUAGCAAGUGUUGUGGGAUGCAGGUGUUCUUCGGGCUGACUCGCCAGUGCACUUUCUCAGAGUGGUCACCACGACCGGCAUCGUUGCCUGGCCGAUGGGGUUAAACCGGUUUUGCAUGGUCCUUGUGGCUGUGCUUGAUCGGGAUGGCAGGUAGCUCGUUGGCUUGCUUGCGGUUCGCCGUGAGCGUGGUUUUCGAGUGUAAUCAGCUGACCAAAUCGGUUCUGUGCAGUAUGUCGGAGACAGCGGCUAGUGCGCGUGCGUGCAUAGCUGGUUGGCGGGUCCGGGUUUGGUUGUCACGUUGCCUGUGUGUGCAGGCCUGAUGAUGGCUCGGAUUCGUUCGGCUGGCUGUUGCGUGCGUGUACGAUACACGGGGCCGAUAGUCUGUGGUGUAGUGGUAACUAUCCACCUGACCCGUCUUGAAAGGGGACCCAAGG